GGUUGUCCGACACUUUUACUUUGAAAAAAUUAGAGUGCUCAAAGCAGGCUGACGCCUGAAUACUGGUGCAUGGAAUAAUGGAAUAGGACCUCGGUUCUAUUUUGUUGGUUUUUGGAUCCCGAGGUAAUGAUUAAGAGGGACAGACGGGGGCAUUCGUAUUGCGGCGCUAGAGGUGAAAUUCUUAGACCGCUGCAAGACGAACUACUGCGAAAGCAUUUGCCAAGAAUGUUUUCAUUAAUCAAGAACGAAAGUUAGAGGUUCGAAGGCGAUCAGAUACCGCCCUAGUUCUAACCAUAAACGAUGCCAACCAGCAAUCCGCCUGAGUUCCUCAAACGACUCGGCGGGCAGCUUUCGGGAAACCAAAGUUUUUGGGUUCCGGGGGAAGUAUGGUUGCAAAGCUGAAACUUAAAGGAAUUGACGGAAGGGCACCACCAGGAGUGGAGCCUGCGGCUUAAUUUGACCCAACACGGGAAAACUUACCCGGCCCGGACACCGGAAGGAUUGACAGAUUAAUAGCUCUUUCUUGAUUCGGUGGGUGGUGGUGCAUGGCCGUUCUUAGUUGGUGGAGUGAUUUGUCUGGUUAAUUCCGAUAACGAACGAGACUCUAGCCUACUAAAUAGACCCACGAUCCUUGGUAUCGUGAGCGGGUCUUCUUAGAGGGACAGGCGGCGUUUAGCCGCACGAAACAGAGCAAUAACAGGUCUGUGAUGCCCUUAGAUGUCCGGGGCCGCACGCGCGCUACACUGAAGAAAUCAGCGUGUGUAACCCUUGUCCGAAAGGAUUGGGUAACCCGAUGAACCUUCUUCGUGAUAGGGAUAGGGGAUUGUAAUUAUUCCCCUCGAACGAGGAAUUCCCAGUAAGCGCGAGUCAUCAGCUCGCGUUGAUUACGUCCCUGCCCUUUGUACACACCGCCCGUCGCUACUACCGAUUGAAUGAUUUAGUGAGGUCUUCGGACUGGAGCAACGAGCGGCUUCGGCCGUUCUCUG
rnacentral:rRNA from 1 species